AUGUUUCUUCAUCAAUACACCACAACAACAACUCCUCUUGCAACAAGAACAACAACGCAAAGAGCGCAUCAACACAAUCGAAGAAAUUCACACAGUAAGAUUAAUCAGGAAUUUACAAAACCAUCUGAAUCGGGAACGUAUAUACCCGAGCCUUGGCCGAUAUUCUCUGGUUCGCUCGUCAUUAUCUUUGGCUUGGAAAAUCGCUGA